GGGGGGUGGUCAGCCCACAAUCUGCCAGUGAGGCAACAAUACCCCUCCAGAAUCCUGGGUCCUGGGCCAGUAAAUGGGCCCUGGCUGGGACAGCCUGAUCCUGUGGAACAGGCCAAUUUCUCUCCUGUGCUGUUGCUUUUCUCCUAUGGAAGUCAGCUGCAAGCAGAGGCUUUGCUCAGGACUGAGAGUAGAAAAAGAAACAAAAAAAUACCCUAUGUGCAAUGCUGUAUAAUAAGAGGAGGGCUGGAGAUGGAGCUCAGUGCUAGAGCACUUGAGAACGUGAAUGCGGCCCGGAAGUCAACAACAAACCAACUUGCACAGCAGUGACGACAGCCACAGCAAAUCAAGGAGAACACAGCCUAGCACGGUGGCACAUGCCUGUAAUGCCAGCCGCUCAGGAGGCUGAGGCAGGAGGACCAAAAGUUCAAGGCUGGUCUGGGUGACAACCUGUCUGCAAAUAAAAUGAAGUAGUAAAACCC
rnacentral:lncRNA from 1 species